AUUCAGCAUAUUCUCGUGUUACUGAUCAGUCAUUAAGCAUCAACGUGCGACUCACCUUAUGCUGGGUAUUGCUUUACGAGCUGAUUUAGAUGCUUUGAGGAAGCUUGCAGAUUGGGAAGUUUGUCCCUAGUCUCAUUGAGUAUUACUGAUCCAGUUUAGUUUUGACCACCUCAAUAUUUAUUCCAGCGAGUUGAAGGGAAAAACUUUCCAUUUGAGUCAUAUUACACAGCAAUCAUGCUGCUUUGAGGCUACUGAGAUAAUUCAGCAUAUUCUACUGUUACUUGUAGUCGAUUUGAAGGAUAAAAUUGCUUGUUUUAACAAAUGGAUGCUAAUUUUAUGAAAGUUACUUUCAAAUGAAAAGAAAGAAGCUUUAGCAGCAAUCUCUCUACUCCCUCAUGGAGAGUUUGUAUCUGGCUAGUGCUCGUCUAACGUUCUAGUUUGUGAUGAGGAUGCACCAUUAAAUGUACCUCAUUCAUCUUAUGCUCAUCAGAGAACGUCGUUGUUGAUUAAAGUGAUUGCAAACCUUCAUUGCUUUGUUCCCCAGAUUGCACGCCCACCAUUUUCUCUGAUCGGACCCAACAUCAUAUUUUCUCGAUUAGCAAUUCCCUCUUCGAUCCCGCUGCAACAGAGACCACCAAGUUCUCUGAGUUCACUCCUGAUUACAUGAAACCUACAAUGCAGUCACUCAGUGGUGCUUUGCUGUCAAUACAAUCAACCUCAUCGGAUUUACUACGGUCUUCUAGAUCAACCUCAGCAACUAAAUUAUCAGCUUUUGCAACUCUGUGAAGCUGAAAGUGUAUCAUACCUGGAUGAGGUGGAGCAACUCAGGAUAUGGCACACUCUGUUGGACUUGAGCUUUUGCAACUGUGUGAAGCUGAAAGUGUAUCAUACCUGGAUGAGUUGGCCAGCAACACAACAACUCAAGAUAUGGCAAAGUCUGUUAGCUCGAGGUUCUUGCAUUGCUGAAAAAAGCUUGGUAUAGAUUCAAGACAGAUAAAUACUCCCUCCAAGGCAAGUUACCGGAAGGGGCAACUGGAGCUUAAUACAAAGCUCUUGGCAGAUGUCGUCUCAGAUGCUUCAAAUUAUCUGUCAUUCAUCAUGAAGUGUGUUUAUAGUGUUUGUAUUUUCUGUAUGUAUUUUGUGUAGUGU